CAGAAUCUAGAACUGUUAUUCUCCCAAAAGCACAUGUACCUUCUCUGGACUGCGUGGUUAUAAUUUGGACAACGAAGGCAACCUUCUGGUUGUUGGAAAUGAAGCAGCUCUGUACUCUCAUCUGUGUUCUUUCGAGGAGAAAGUUCAAGAUACUUCCUUCAGUGAAGUUUGGAGAAGUCUGAGUCCCCACCGUGAAGUCUGCUUUAAAUCUGCCCUAAGAGCAAAGCUCCCUGGUGAACAGGCUCCUUCAGGGCCCUGGAAGCCACAGAGAUUCACUGAGUGCUGCCCUCUUUAGUAAUAAGGGAUCCCACCUUUUCACCUUCUUUUACACACAGAGAUACUGGCAGCUUUAUCAAAAAACAUAAUAGCUUGAAAUAAAAAAUUUAAUGACAGCUUCUUGAAAAAAAAA